rnacentral:rRNA from 1 species
CAAGUCGAACGGGAUUUUUUGUGUAGUAAUACAUGAAAAGUCUAGUGGCGAACGGGUGCGUAGCACGUGAGCAAUCUGCCGGGAAGUGGGGGAUAGCUCGCCGAAAGGCGAAUUAAUACCGCAUGUGGCCAGAGGGGACAUCCCCUCGACGCCAAAGUCGCAAGACGCUUCCUGAUGAGCUCGCGGCCUAUCAGCUUGUUGGUGAGGUAACGGCUCACCAAGGCUAUGACGGGUAGCUGGUCUGAGAGGACGACCAGCCACACUGGAACUGAGACACGGUCCAGACACCUACGGGUGGCAGCAGUCGAGAAUUUUUCACAAUGGGGGCAACCCUGAUGGAGCGACGCCGCGUGGAGGAUGAAGGUCUUCGGAUUGUAAACUCCUGUCAUGCGAGAACAAGAAAGUGAUAGUAUCGCAAGAGGAAGAGACGGCUAACUCUGUGCCAGCAGCCGCGGUAAUACAGAGGUCUCAAGCGUUGUUCGGAUUCAUUGGGCGUAAAGGGUGCGUAGGCGGCGUGGUAAGUUGAGUGUGAAAUCCUAGGGCUUAACCUUAGAACUGCACUCAAUACUGCCAUGCUUGAGGAAUGUAGAGGAGAGUGGAAUUCACGGUGUAGCAGUGAAAUGCGUAGAUAUCGUGAGGAAGACCAGUUGCGAAGGCGACUCUCUGGGCAUCUCCUGACGCUGAGGCACGAAGGCUAGGGGAGCAAACGGGAUUAGAUACCCCGGUAGUCCUAGCAGUAAACGGUGCACGUUUGGUGUGGGCGGGUUCAGACCCCGUCCGUGCCGGAGCUAACGCGUUAAACGUGCCGCCUGGGAAGUACGGUCGCAAGAUUAAAACUCAAAGAAAUUGACGG